rnacentral:rRNA from 1 species
AUGGCAACAGCGGGCGCGACGGACGCGGUGUGGCACGUGCGUGGGCAUGGAGAGCCAGAGAGGGAGUGGCCCCGCGGGCGCAGAAGAAGAGCUGAAGGCUCGGGCAUGGGUGCGCAUAGGAGCGGGCAUGUGCCACGGGGUCAAUCCGAGGAGCUCGGUGGCUACCCCUGCAAUGGCCAUGGCGGACGGUGGUUCUUGGCCACGGCGAAAUACCUAACGAGAGCAAACGAGAGGGGAAACUGUGGAAAGGCAAGAGGAGAUCACGGCGCGGAUCAGGGCGGCAAUGUCACGGUGGCCGAAGAUUGA